GUAAGUUAGGCAUAUUAUUUUGGCCUUUUUUGAAUAAAUUUAGCUUUUGUCCUCCCAAUUUUUUCUUCCACUAUUUUUAGUUGAUUUAAUUAGUGUUUGUUAUAAAUCUUAAAUCGACACAAUUAAUCUGCUCUAGAUAGCUUGCUGUUCUACAUGCCGCAGUCACCUCCACACCACCACCAGCUCUUCCCCAUCCAUAACCCCCACCAUCUCCACCGCCGCAACCACCUCCACAUCUUUCACCACCACUGCCACCCACACCAUUACCACCACCAUAUUGGUUGUGACCACCAACCUCCAAAUCCAUUACAUUGUUUGAUUGACUUUCAAUUCUAAUGUCUAGGCUGCUACUUCUGGUGCUGGUGGUAACAAUGUCAUCAUAUUCUCAUAGAAGAUGGUUUCUCUUCUACACAAGCCAUAAUAGCACAGACCAUCAGAAGGGAGGCAGCAAAAGUUGCAACAAAGACUAAACCCCGCCAGGGGAUCCUCCGAAGGAGACCCCCAUUGUCCUCUCACUACAGGAAAUUGGCAAAUUUCCGACUCUGUAUUGCCGAUGCUAGAUAGAGACGUUGACAAUUUCUCCUCGAGCGACAAACCUUUCCAACACUUUUUAGAAGCAUUGAAAAAUAAAGGGCUCCGCCAACGCUUUUCUUAACAUCGUUGGAAGCCGUCAAUUACCGAUGCUUAUAAGCAUUGGCGGAAGCCAAAAUUCGACAACGCUCUCCAUUUAUCUCCCCCCACCCCACACCGACCUCCUCCAUCAGCCCCAAAUUCUUAAUUCACCCCGACCACCCCCCUUCUCAACCCCUUUCACUAUCUCAGCCCCAAAUUACCCACCUCCGUCUCUCUCCACCGCAUCUCUUUCUCCUCCUCCCCCUCCGACCCCCUCCAUCAACCCCAAAUCUCUAACCCACCCUGACUGCCCCCCUCCUCAGCCCUUUCACCAUCUCAGCCCCAAAUCGCCUCUCUCCGCCACUCCUCCCCCCUCUGCUAGCCUCCUCUCCUUGGCCAACUUCCUCCUAUUCUUCUCCUCCUCCUCCUGCACAGACCCCCCCCCCCCCCCCCCCCCCCCCCGCCCGCGCCAAUCCACGGUGUUAGCGACGGAAGCUCUGACCGCCCGCCCUCCUCCAGCCGAUUGUCGAUCUCAACCAUGCGUCCUAUCUCCAGAUGGACAGAGGAGAGUGAGGACGAGACGGGGACCCACUCAAGCAAGGGAAGUGUGGCAACUCAUGAGGAUGGAAGAGCAUGGAAGGGAGCUUGGUGGGGUGGAGUUCUAUAGAAUGACUCACACCCACCGAGGUGGCAUCAUCAUCGAAUAAGACCAGUCGUGUCGAAGCUCAGAUGUUCGCCGAAUUGAUGGGCCCGGAGCGUUAUAGUCGAGUGAGGGGUUAUGGUGUUGGAUUUACCCCCAUUUAAUUAUCUAUAGUGAGCAGAAAUACACAAGAUGUCCAACAAGGUAGUAGCAUUUAGAAGUUUGUAGACUGAAGGCAGCAAUAGAGAAGAUGAGGCAGAGGCAUCAUACAAGGAUAGAGCAUAUGACGCAGAGCUAUCAAACAAAGAUACAAUCUUUGAAAGCUCGGCUUGACCAGAUUGCAUCUAUGUUGCAUAGGUUCGUGAUACUUCAUCUACUCAUAGAUAUGAUUAUGAUGAUGCCAUUGACCCCAAGAUACCUCAUAGACUAUUUAUUUAGGAGUUUUUUAUGUGUAUUUUUUUAUGUUUUUGAAUCCAUUGUAAAUGUAAAUCGACAAUGUAAA